UUUUCCAUAUAGAAUGGGUCUCAUCCCCGAACUCCCACCUCCUGACCAAUUUUCCCCAUUUUACUACAGUGGUGUAGUUCUUCGUAAGGAAUCUUAAUUC